UGCUUAAUUUGUACUUGCAUGUAAAUGCUAUUAUAAUAUGACGAGCUGUUCGAGUGUUUCUAGACAAUAUAGUGGGUCACUAGGUUGCUGCGAUGUCCUAGUGAGUCACUCGAAUUUUCUGGACAGCCUAUAACGGACUAUUUUCACUCGCUUGGUAAGCCAUCUUAUGUUAUUGAAUCAACGCUUCAUCGACGUACUGAUAUAUUUACAUCAACUGUUUCCAAACUUCUUUCAUGAACUAUGAACCUGUUGACGAACCCGCGAUUCUAACAAUCACUGCACUGUUAUGGAACAGAGAUUAUUUAAUAUUUCAAAUCGUUAAAUUCAGAAGAUGUACAUUUGGAUACUCAUUGCAAUUGUCACCGGAGUAACCAUCGCUGUUAUGCUCUCUCUACUUUUCAUGAUACUCAGUUUCUCCACAAAGUCAUGGCUGGACAAUAGAGAACAUUACAGCGAAGAGCAAUUCGUACCAGUAAGAGAAGAUAGAAAUACUGUAAUAACAGAUCCCUAUUCAGGAAAAUUGAUGAAUCUAGAACGAGGGAGCACCGCCAGCUCACUGCGAAGCACGAAAAGUAUUGGAUUCAUCGCUUAUGACAAUCAGUCUGAUACCGCAAGUCAGGGUGCAGGAAGAGCAACGUUUCAUACAGGGAGCAUCAAGAGCGUGAGAUCAAAUAGAUCGAUAAUAUCCACACCAACUGGAUCCAUUAAUCGAGAAAUGAAGUACUUAAACGUCAACCCUUUGUUCAAAGAAGACCCUAAAUCCGACGAGCCGCGAUUAAAUAAGAGUACCAAAAUGCGUGCCAUGGAACUAAUGUUUGAAUAGAGUUGCAUCAACAGAAAAAAACAUAAACUAUGAUAAUUUAUUGUAUAAUUUAUUUAAUCAUUCAUUCUACAUUCUAUAUACCCAGGUAGGUUUUUUAAGUAAAGACAUGUAAGAGAGUUUAAGCCUCACGUUAUACAUGAAACGGCAAACUUCAAGCAUGCAAAGAAAAAGUUAAAGCUAAACGAAUAAAGGGCAAAUGUUUUAAAACUCAAGGAGCAAUGAAUGUUUUCCGAAAAGAAAAUAUGAAACGAAGAGGAUGAACGAAAAUUCUGCAUAGAAAGUUCGGCCUUGCUGUUUGCCGAAAACACAGAGCUUAAACUCCUUAAAGCGUUAUCCGGUCUGCAUGGGACGCUGGAAGGAUACACGAGAAAUGAGCUCGAGGUGGGGGUGUUUUUGCCAAACAUCGACAGUUAACUUCGUCUUAUCGUGUUUCUCUUCGUUAGAUGAAUCUGUUAGCUGCAUUUUAAAUUGCCAAAUGCAAAUUUUAUUUAAGAAUUGAAAUGCACUUCAGUAUGAAUAUAUAAGAGUAUACUGCCUUAUGUGUUACAAAUGACUGAUUGUGACUCCACGACUUGCGGGGAGAACAAUAUAUGUUUAUAUUUUACGCAAAUGUAUAUAGUUGGAAAUUGUACAAGUCAUGCAGGACGGGUAGCUUUUAUGCCAGAAUUAUUGGUAGUGAGGCUGUAUAUAUGAAACAUAUAGGCCUCCGGCAGGAAUCGAACCUAUACGUAUUAGUACGCUAUUGCGAAAGCCAUCACAAUGACAGUACUUUAACUUAGACAGUUAACCGAUCGUCUAUGACCUCAUACGAUACAGCAAUAGCAUGCGCAAUAUAUUACUCAUAGAACAUGCACUUGCAUGUCCAUGGACAAUAAAGACACAUUAACAUACAGUGAUGCAAUUUGACAUAUACUUGAAAUAUUCCAAAGAUUGAAGUAUUACCUAUCUAUAAACUAACAAUAAUAUAUGUAUAUAUAUCUAACCUAUAUAAAAUUAACCAUCAGGCAUGCAUGCACUAAUGUAUAUCUGUAAUACUAUAAUGUAUAAAUGUUUUUUUUGUUAUUUUUAUCCCUUGAAAGUUAUUACGAAUUAAU
rnacentral:misc_RNA from 1 species